rnacentral:rRNA from 1 species
UACGUAGGGUGCGAGCGUUAAUCGGAAUUACUGGGCGUAAAGCGUGCGCAGGCGGUUGUGUAAGACAGAUGUGAAAUCCCCGGGCUUAACCUGGGAAUGGCAUUUGGGACUGCAAGGCUGGAGUGUGGCAGAGGAGACUGGAAUUCCUGGUGUAGCAGUGAAAUGCGUAGAUAUCAGGAGGAAUACCGAUGGCGAAGGCAGGUCUCUGGGCUGACACUGACGCUCAUGCACGAAAGCGUGGGGAGCAAACAGG